GGACGGCUGCUAUAAUGCAGUCGAGCGAACAGAUAAGGAGCUUGCUCCUUUGACGUUAGCGGCGGACGGGUGAGUAACACGUGGGUAACCUACCUAUAAGACUGGGAUAACUUCGGGAAACCGGAGCUAAUACCGGAUAACAUUUGGAACCGCAUGGUUCUAAAGUGAAAGAUGGUUUUGCUAUCACUUAUAGAUGGACCCGCGCCGUAUUAGCUAGUUGGUAAGGUAACGGCUUACCAAGGCGACGAUACGUAGCCGACCUGAGAGGGUGAUCGGCCACACUGGAACUGAGACACGGUCCAGACUCCUACGGGAGGCAGCAGUAGGGAAUCUUCCGCAAUGGGCGAAAGCCUGACGGAGCAACGCCGCGUGAGUGAUGAAGGGUUUCGGCUCGUAAAACUCUGUUAUUAGGGAAGAACAAAUGUGUAAGUAACUGUGCACGUCUUGACGGUACCUAAUCAGAAAGCCACGGCUAACUACGUGCCAGCAGCCGCGGUAAUACGUAGGUGGCAAGCGUUAUCCGGAAUUAUUGGGCGUAAAGCGCGCGUAGGCGGUUUCUUAAGUCUGAUGUGAAAGCCCACGGCUCAACCGUGGAGGGUCAUUGGAAACUGGGAAACUUGAGUGCAGAAGAGGAAAGUGGAAUUCCAUGUGUAGCGGUGAAAUGCGCAGAGAUAUGGAGGAACACCAGUGGCGAAGGCGACUUUCUGGUCUGUAACUGACGCUGAUGUGCGAAAGCGUGGGGAUCAAACAGGAUUAGAUACCCUGGUAGUCCACGCCGUAAACGAUGAGUGCUAAGUGUUAGGGGGUUUCCGCCCCUUAGUGCUGCAGCUAACGCAUUAAGCACUCCGCCUGGGGAGUACGACCGCAAGGUUGAAACUCAAAGGAAUUGACGGGGACCC
rnacentral:rRNA from 1 species